CAUUGUUAUCUUUCCAGUACAAUUAUGUUACAUGUAUCUAGACCAUAGACCUCAAAUUUUUGUAGACAUUCUUAUCUUUUGUCACAAUUUACAUACCUUUACGAGGAUGGGUUCUACAGGAAAUUGUAUUAGGAUUGUUGUGCUUUUCGCCCUGUCUGCGACAAGUACCGCUUCUUGGACCCUUGACGUCACGUUACACGUCUUUUCCGGCACACCCGAUCCCGAAUGGGUCAUACCACGUAACACGAGUUCCUAUGACGUCAUAUUGAAGGCUAUAGGCGACACCUCGACACCAUUGGGGGAGCGGCUAGGCUACAAUGGAUUUACAGUUACACUGAUUCGCGGGGAUUUACAGGCGUCCCGAUGGACGGUCGGCUGGUGUACACGACCGGAAGAAGAGCUGCGCCUCUUGGCUGCCGUGUCCGCAAUGACGCCACGUGGUGACCAACAUCCGCUGCAGGCUGGUGUGAUUGACUACGUCAAAGAAAGCAUUUUGUCGUGUAAAGGUUGACAUAAUUGUUAUCUAUGUAACCAAUUAUCAUGUCGUAAAAUUUAAAAUAAAAUUAUGACUGCAACCAAACAA